UAGGAUUGAAAUGCAACUAGGCUGUCAUAAGCUCAAGAUGCACUUAAGGCCUCCCUUAAGAUGAUCCUAGCGUUCCCGAUUGAUUUAACCCCACGAAAGCUAGGGCACAAACUGGGAUUAGAUACCCCAUUAUGCCUAGCCCUAAAUCUUGAUGCUUGCCGUACCAAAGCAUCCGCCUGAGAACUACGAGCACAAACGCUUAAAACUCUAAGGACUUGGCGGUGCCCCAAACCCACCUAGAGGAGCCUGUUCUGUAAUCGAUAACCCACGAUCCACCCGACCACCCCUUGCCAAAGCAGCCUACAUACCGCCGUCGCCAGUUCACCUCCCCUGAGAGCCCCACAGUGAACACAAUAGCCCAAUCUCGCUAACAAGACAGGUCAAGGUAUAGCCUAUGGGGUGGAAGAAAUGGGCUACAUUUUCUACAAUAGAGUACAUACGAAAGGGGGCAUGAAACAACCCCGGAAGGCGGAUUUAGCAGUAAAGUGGGACAAUAAAGCCCCCUUUAAGUUGGCUCUGGGGCACGUACAUACCGCCCGUCACCCUCC
rnacentral:rRNA from 1 species